rnacentral:rRNA from 1 species
AACAAACGCUGGCGGCGUGCCUAAUACAUGCAAGUCGAACGGGGAAAGCUUUCGGGUGAGUACUAGUGGCGCACGGGUGAGUAACGCGUGGAUAAUCUGCCUUAGAGUGGGGGAUAACUAGUCGAAAGAUUAGCUAAUACCGCAUAAGACCACAAGAACUGCGGCUCAAGAGGUCAAAGGUUUUUCGCUCUAAGAUGAGUCCGCGUAAGAUUAGCUAGUUGGUGAGGUAACGGCUCACCAAGGCAACGAUCUUUAACUGGUCUGAGAGGAUGAUCAGUCACACUGGAACUGAGACACGGUCCAGACUCCUACGGGAGGCAGCAGUAGGGAAUAUUGCACAAUGGAGGAAACUCUGAUGCAGCGACGCCGCGUGAGUGAUGAAGGCCUUCGGAUCGUAAAGCUCUGUCGCAGGGGAAUAACACAAUGAAUGUACCCUGUAAGAAAGGAUCGGCUAACUUCGUGCCAGCCGCCGCAGUAACAC